rnacentral:rRNA from 1 species
AUUGAACGCUAGCGGGAUGCCUUACACAUGCAAGUCGAACGGCAGCGCGGACUUCGGUCUGGCGGCGAGUGGCGAACGGGUGAGUAAUGUAUCGGAACGUGCCCAGUAGCGGGGGACAACCACUCGAAAGAGUGGCUAAUACCGCAUACGCCCUACGGGGAAAGGGGGGAGUCGCAAGACCUCUCACUAUUGGAGCGGCCGAUAUCGGAUUAGCUAGUUGGUGGGGUAAAGGCCUACCAAGGCGACGAUCCGUAGCUGGUUUGAGAGGACGACCAGCCACACUGGGACUGAGACACGGCCCAGACUCCUACGGGAGGCAGCAGUGGGGAAUUUUGGACAAUGGGGAAACCCUGAUCCAGCCAUUCCGCGUGUGCGAUG